rnacentral:tRNA from 1 species
UGCACUGGUAGCUCAAUCGGAUAGAGUACCCGGCUACGAACCGGGCGGUUAGAGGUUCAAGUCCUCUCCAGUGCGA